AUUGAACGCUGGCGGCAGGCCUAACACAUGCAAGUCGAACGGUAACAGGAAGAAGCUUGCUUCUUUGCUGACGAGUGGCGGACGGGUGAGUAAUGUCUGGGAAACUGCCUGAUGGAGGGGGAUAACUACUGGAAACGGUAGCUAAUACCGCAUAACGUCGCAAGACCAAAGAGGGGGACCUUCGGGCCUCUUGCCAUCGGAUGUACCCAGAUGGGAUUAGCUUGUUGGUGGGGUAACGGCUCACCAAGGCGACGAUCCCUAGCUGGUCUGAGAGGAUGACCAGCCACACUGGAACUGAGACACGGUCCAGACUCCUACGGGAGGCAGCAGUGGGGAAUAUUGCACAGUGGGCGCAAGCCUGAUGCAGCCAUGCCGCGUGUAUGAAGAAGGCCUUCGGGUUGUAAAGUACUUUCAGCGGGGAGGAAGGGAGUAAAGUUAAUACCUUUGCUCAUUGACGUUACCCGCAGAAGAAGCACCGGCCAACUCCGUG
rnacentral:rRNA from 1 species